GACGAACGCUGGUGGCGUGCUUAACACAUGCGAGUCGAACGGAAAGGCCCUGCUUUUGUGGGGCGCUCGAGUGGCGAACGGGUGAGUAACACGUGAGUAACCUGCCCUUGACUUUGGGAUAACUUCAGGAAACUGGGGCUAAUACCGGAUAGGAGCUCCUGCUGCAUGGUGGGGGUUGGAAAGUUUCGGCGGUUGGGGAUGGACUCGCGGCUUAUCAGCUUGUUGGUGGGGUAGUGGCUUACCAAGGCUUUGACGGGUAGCCGGCCUGAGAGGGUGACCGGCCACAUUGGGACUGAGAUACGGCCCAGACUCCUACGGGAGGCAGCAGUGGGGAAUAUUGCACAAUGGGCGGAAGCCUGAUGCAGCAACGCCGCGUGCGGGAUGACGGCCUUCGGGUUGUAAACCGCUUUCGCCUGUGACGAAGCGUGAGUGACGGUAAUGGGUAAAGAAGCACCGGCUAACUACGUG
rnacentral:rRNA from 1 species